GACGAACGCUGGCGGCGUGCCUAAUACAUGCAAGUCGAACGAGAGCAACCGGUGCUUGCACUGGUCAAUCUAGUGGCGAACGGGUGAGUAACACGUGGGUAACCUGCCCAUCAGAGGGGGAUAACAUCCGGAAACGGAUGCUAAAACCGCAUAGGUCUUCGAACCGCAUGGUUUGAAGAGGAAAAGAGGCGCAAGCUUCUGCUGAUGGAUGGACCCGCGGUGCAUUAGCUAGUUGGUGAGGUAACGGCUCACCAAGGCCGUGAUGCAUAGCCGACCUGAGAGGGUGAUCGGCCACAUUGGGACUGAGUCACGGCCCAAACUCCUACGGGAGGCAGCAGUAGGGAAUCUUCCGCAAUGGACGCAAGUCUGACGGAGCAACGCCGCGUGAGUGAAGAAGGUUUUCGGAUCGUAAAACUCUGUUGUUAGAGAAGAACAAGUGCUAGAGUAACUGUUAGCGCCUUGACGGUAUCUAACCAGAAAGCCACGGCUAACUACGUG
rnacentral:rRNA from 1 species